AUGACUGACACAUCUGAAGCUAUUCCAAACUUUGAAGAGAUGUUUGCAAACAGAUUCACAGAAGAUGAUAAAGAAUACCAGGAAUAUUUGAAACGCCCCCCGAAUCCCCUCCAGUUAUUGAAGAAUGGAAUAGCAGAGCUGGUGGGAACCAAAGAAACAGAGGCAAUCAGUUGCAAGAUAACAGACAGUUUAGAGGUAGGGACAGCAGACGGGGGUGGCCAAGUGACAAUCGAUCAAACCAGUGGCAUGGACGAUCCUGGGGUAACAAUUACCCACAGCACAGACAAGAGCCUUACUAUCCGCAGCAAUAUGGACAAUAUGGUUAUAACCAGCGGCCUCCAUACGGUUACUACUGAUAGAAAUGGUGGUGACAUCUUUUAGUAAAAUCAUUUGCUUUGUUAAUACGACAAAAAUUCGUGUGUGUUCUGUUGUCACAGUUUUCCAUCACAUUUUAGAGAAUGGAUCAUUAAUGUUUUUGAACUUGAGACUUUAAAAAAUAGAUCUUACAGAAAGAUGUAAUGGUUGCUGAGAAUAAAUACUCCCUUGAAAA